UACGAAGGGGGCUAGCGUUGCUCGGAAUCACUGGGCGUAAAGGGUGCGUAGGCGGGUCUUUAAGUCAGGGGUGAAAUCCUGGAGCUCAACUCCAGAACUGCCUUUGAUACUGAAGAUCUUGAGUUCGGGAGAGGUGAGUGGAACUGCGAGUGUAGAGGUGAAAUUCGUAGAUAUUCGCAAGAACACCAGUGGCGAAGGCGGCUCACUGGCUCGGUACUGACGCUGAGGUGCGAAAGCGUGGGGAGCAAGCAGGG
rnacentral:rRNA from 1 species